rnacentral:rRNA from 1 species
UGUAAGCGUAUACCAAAGUUGUUGCAGUUAAAACGCUCGUAGUCGGAAUUUGGCAGUUCCGGAAGUGUGCACGUCGUGUGCGCACUUUGCGGGGACUGCUUUUGUGGUCUUGCGUAGGAUGAGGCACUUUCAUUAGUGAACGUCCUCACGCAACCACUCUUUACUGUGAGAAAAUCAGAGUGCUCAAAGCAGGCAUUUGCCGUGAAUGUAUUAGCAUGGAAUAAUAGAAUAGGACUCGAUUCUAUUUUGUUGGUUUGUUGGGACUGAGUAAUGAUUAAGAGGGACAGUUGGGGGCAUUUGUAUUCCGGCGCUAGAGGUGAAAUUCUUAGAUUGCCGGAAGACAAACUGCUGCGAAAGCGUCUGCCAAGGAUGUUUUCAUUGA